AUUUUGAACGCGCUUCAUUGCUGUCAGGUGAUACACCUUCACUCGCGCAGCGUGGGCGGAGUCUCGUACCUGUGCUCGUGAGUGCUGUCCGCCAGGUUUGGGCAGUUUGGAUGCAAACAAAACAACGGAUUAUUUACCAAGAGAUAUGCAUGUAUGGACUCAUUUCGAUUAAACACUUCUGAGUGUUUACGCUGCAGAAAACUGACGAGCAACACUACAGUCCUUCAACAAACAGAUGAGGAAGAGGAGGAGGAUGGCGGUCCAGCAUACAAAGAGAAAGAUGCUAAAUGUAAGCAGACUGUACAGAUGCACACCUCUGCCAAAACUCAUGUGACUACAAGACAAACAGAGCACCACAGUUCAUCACUUUUGGUGCUGGUUGCUUCUUCAGUCAGGAUGUAGAGACACACAGGAGUAACUGAAUAUUUCUCUUAACAUGCUACACAUUUAUUUUAAUAUUUCUAUAUUUUGUAGUAACCAAGAGAAGUGUCAGCGCUGAAGGAAUGACAGACGUUACUCAGACACCUGUGAACACAGCAGUGUUUGGAGUCCAAGACAGUGAUCUUUAUUAUAUAUUUAUAUAUUUAUUAUACUCCUGACUGGACUAGCAAGGCGUAUUAGAGACAAUGAGAAAAACUCAAAAGAAGAUAUUUUGAAGAAUGCUGUUAAUCAAACCCAACAAGUUUGUCAGGUGCAGCAAUAAAAGCUCCCAAACGAAGAUGUCACCGGAUUAAGAUGUGGAAAGACAUGUUACACCACCGCAACCAUAAAUCCUGAGUGAUUUGAAUAUGGGCAACAACCGAGGAAAAGUACUCACUGUUUCACUCAAAAAUGAUCCAUGG
ensembl:lncRNA